ncrna:unclassified sequences DTF3800-XI RNA
UGGGCUGGUCGAGAGACCCAGGUCCACCGAAAGGCGGGGAUUUACCCC